rnacentral:lncRNA from 1 species
AGAUGUGGGGCUAUAGGUGUGACUCCAGUCUCAGAAUUGGGGGCUAUGCAGCUGCACCGGUGCCCGCAGAUAUCAUGCUCUAUCCUUAGUUUAAAAGACACCCACACUUGACGCUUACCUUUGAAAAACUGCAGCAUAAGGUGCCCCCCUCCCAAAGAUUUAGGACCGCCCCGAAAUACAAACUUUUUUUUUUUUUUUUAAAUUACGUUUAUUUUGUAAGAGGGGUGGCUGUCACAGCGUGCGUGUUGAGGUCAUAGGACGACCUGCAGGACUCAGUUCUACCCUGUAAGUCCCGCCCUCAUUCAGGGCCUCAGACUUGUCUGCAAGCUACCUUGCUGAGCCAACGUGCCUCAAAUUGUAUUUUAUAAUCAUAAACGAGAGAAAGGAGAACGCUGGCAGUAUUUAGAUGCUUAAACCCUAAACUUGCCGAGUGGCAUUUCAAAUUAGAGUUAGAGCAGUUUUUGUCAGAAAAAAAAAUGUCACCGUCACCGACGUUUGGAAUAUUGGAAGCCAGAACUAGAUAGUGGGCAGGAGAGAUUCCCAGCUGCAGGAAGUGAUGCGUGUUUGGGAGCUGGGGUCUUCUGCUUCUUUCUAGCAGCUGGGAACCAGCAAGGCUGUGAUGUAUCUUCCUGACACGUGUCCUCAAGAGGUGUACAGAUGAAACUGCAGUAACUUUAGAGGCAAACAUGCCUACUUCCGGUUUGAGACAUCCAUUGGAAAGCCAAACAUUUUGGCUGCAACCAGCAUUCCUUAGGUGCAGUGUGGUCACACUUUCUUGGCUACAGUCUUGCCCGUAUCCUGUGGUCACAUUUUCUUGGCUACAUUCUUGCCCAUUCUAUUACUGGUAGGUAUACAUGGAAAUUUUAUACUUUGUCCUUGAUUAAACUGAGAGAAUUAUAGUCUCACACAGAGGCCUCUUUCUCUGCUGUGUAUGUGUUCUCUCUGUGUCUCUCUUAAAUUUCUCUCUCCCUUCCCCUCCAUUCUCCCCCUCGUUUUUUUCUCUUUCCCUCCCUCUCCUCCCUCCCUCUCCCUCUCAGGGUCUCACUGUGUAGCCCUAGCUACAGGACUUAGUAUGUUCGAAUCUCAACUCCUAGAAAUCUGUUUGUUUCUGCAUUCCAAGUGCUGGGAUUAAAGGCAUGUGCCACCAAACCCUACUUUUUCUUGAAAUAUACAUAAGACUAAGUGUAAGUUCUGUGGUUAUAAUAAAGGUCAAGUAAAAAUAUGAAAAAAAAUUGUUCCCUGCAUAUGCAGCUUAGAAUAUAAGACUGGUCUAGGUAGCCAGCGCAUCAAGUGUAUCCCUUGUAUGUGUACCUCAGUCUAUGAGGGUGGGAAGAAAAAUUAAUCUGAAGUCCAAGGAUGGCCAAGAGUGACUCAAGCUCGACUCUGGAGGUUGAAAGGGAACAUUGCACCAUGUGAUAAAAUAAGCUUGUUUUUUGUUUUUUUCUUGGGAGGGUCAGUAGUGGUGGGAGAGAAUCAGAUAUUAUAAUGUUCAGAUAUUAUAAUGCUGGACACUUCUGGACCAGCAUGAUAGGUCAGGGAAUGCAAACAUGUACAGCCUUAUCUUGGUCUGAACCAGUGGGCUCUGUGGUUAAGAUGGAGGGUGGUCUACCAUCUUAACUGUCUGCCAGAGCUAAAGGAAGUGUGCAGGAAAAUCCGUGCUCUGAAGCAUCAGAAGGGGCGUUGUUAACCAGCUAGGAAGAAGCACAGAUAGGGACCGUUUCUACGUGUGCAAAAGUUUCUCUCUGGCUACUGUGUUUUGGAAGUUAUACUUAUUACAUAAGCAGAGGAUCUUUGUGUCUCUCUGAAGGAGAGAGAAGGCGCAGGUUUCUGGCAGUGCUUUACCUUCACGGCUGGCCGCCCUCAUCCCUGAGCUUAGGAAUCACAACCCUUCAGUCUCAUAACCCGCUGCCUGCUUGUCCACUCUUCUCUGCUGUUCCUGUGAGUGACAGGAACCCAGGAGGUAAGGUACUGCUUCUAGUCAUCCUGACUGUGUUAACAAAUAAAACAUUUAAAAGUCAAAAGGCGUUAGUGGAAACUGGAUGGAGAAGGAGACUAAACUGGCUGGAAUUUGAUCUUAGAGAGCAAACAACCUUUUGCUACCGGCCACCUUUCCUGGGACUCAGGAUGAACAAAUCAACCUUGCUUCCAAAUGUGGGCUAAAUAAUCUGGUUUCUAUUCUCUCUCUGUGUAUCUCUCUCUGUGUGUCUGUCUCUGUCUCUCUAUCUCUCUCUUUCUUUCUAUCUCCCCCCAAACCCUUCGCCAAGAAGAAUGGUUUUGGUCCUGAGCAAAGCUUGGGCCUCAGAACAAAUGAUGUUUCUUGGGCCGCAGAACAUUGUGCCUUCUGUGGAGAACAGCUGAGUGAGCAGCAGAGUCCUGCCUCCAGUUUAGCCGACAGCUUUCUGUAACAUGACUCUUAGGAAUGUUAUCUUUUUGAGGUCCAGGGACUGCACAUGGAAUUGUGCGUCUUUUUUACAGGACUCUCCUGUUCUUGCCACAUUUGACUGAAGAAGGACAACGGGGUCAAGGUUUGAGGACUGACAGGUAAGUUUUCCUGGAGAUUCAAAACUGUGCUUUUCAACAAGCAUUGGGGCUCAAAGUUCUGUCAGUUUGAGGGCAGCCUAGUCUACAAAGCGAGUUCCAGGACUGCCAGUGGUCUGUUACACAGAGAAACCUGUCUUGGAAAACC